CAUUUCUAAGCGCUGUCAUCACAUAGUCAUUUCCGAUUAUUCAAAAACUUUAUUUCAUAAUUUUUUUAAAUGUUAGCUGGACCAUUUUGAUUUGUACAUGAUAUAGCUAGAUGUAAUAUAACUCGUUUUUAUAAAAUAUGAGUGUUUUUAAUCUUUCCCAUAAGACUCGACUUCAAAUUAUGUACAGCUAAGCGCCCUCUACAGGAAAACUACUUAAAAGGCGCUUAAAAAGGAUUGCCGCCUAAAAGAAGCUCCCUUAUGCCUGGAACGCUAAUUUGUUCUCCGUGAUCAACCCAAAUGCAACUACCGUGGAAGAAAAGGUACGUGUAAAGUUUUGACCAAAUGUUACUUGUGAUUUUACUGUGUUACUGUUUCAAGUAGGCCCAAUGGAAAGUGAUCAGCUCGCAUCAACACAGUUUCUUAGAUCCAUUUCAACUUAGCCUAUAUAACGUUUGUAGUUAGUUGUUAUAAAACUAGAUUUAAAAAGCAUUAAUAAUUCUGUUUUCAAGUUCAGACGGAGUGAUAAAG
rnacentral:lncRNA from 1 species